rnacentral:rRNA from 1 species
UAGGGAAUCUUCCGCAAUGGACGCAAGUCUGACGGAGCAACGCCGCGUGAGUGAAGAAGGAUUUCGGUUCGUAAAACUCUGUUGUUAGAGAAGAACAGCGCAUAGAGUAACUGUUAUGCGUGUGACGGUAUCUAACCAGAAAGCCACGGCUAACUACGUGCCAGCAGCCGCGGUAAUACGUAGGUGGCAAGCGUUGUCCGGAUUUAUUGGGCGUAAAGCGAGCGCAGGCGGUCAAUUAAGUCUGAUGUGAAAGCCCCCGGCUCAACCGGGGAGGGUCAUUGGAAACUGAUUGACUUGAGUGCAGAAGAGGAGAGUGGAAUUCCAUGUGUAGCGGUGAAAUGCGUAGAUAUAUGGAGGAACACCAGUGGCGAAGGCGACUCUCUGGUCUGUAACUGACGCUGAGGCUCGAAAGCGUGGGUAGCAAACAGG